rnacentral:rRNA from 1 species
AACGAACGCUGGCGGCAUGCCUAACACAUGCAAGUCGAACGAGACCUUCGGGUCUAGUGGCGCACGGGUGCGUAACGUGUGGGAACCUGCCCUUAGGUUCGGAAUAACUCCCCGAAAGGGGUGCUAAUACCGGAUAAUGUCCUCGGACCAAAGAUUUAUCGCCUUUGGAUGGGCCCGCGUUGGAUUAGCUAGUUGGUAGGGUAAAAGCCUACCAAGGCGACGAUCCAUAGCUGGUCUGAGAGGAUGAUCAGCCACACUGGGACUGAGACACGGCCCAGACUCCUACGGGAGGCAGCAGUGGGGAAUAUUGGACAAUGGGCGAAAGCCUGAUCCAGCAAUGCCGCGUGAGUGAUGAAGGCCUUAGGGUUGUAAAGCUCUUUUACCCGGGAUGAUAAUGACAGUACCGGGAGAAUAAGCUCCGGCUAACUCCGUG